rnacentral:rRNA from 1 species
UAGUGGCAGACGGGUGAGUAAUGUAUAGGAAUCUACCUAGUAGUACGGAAUAAUUGUUGGAAACGGCAACUAAUGCCGUAUACGCCCUACGGGGGAAAAAUUUAUUGCUAUUAGAUGAGCCUAUAUUAGAUUAGCUAGUUGGUAGGGUAAUGGCCUACCAAGGCAAUGAUCUAUAGCUGAUCUGAGAGGAUGAUCAGCCACACUGGAACUGAGAUACGGUCCAGACUCCUACGGGAGGCAGCAGUGGGGAAUAUUGGACAAUGGGCGGAAGCCUGAUCCAGCCAUGCCGCAUAAGUGAAGAAGGCUUUUGGGUUGUAAAGCUCUUUUAGUGGGAAAGAUAAUGACGGUACUCACAGAAGAAGUCCUGGCUAACUCCGUGCCAGCAGCCGCGGUAAUACGGAGAGGGCUAGCGUUAUUCGGAAUUAUUGGGCGUAAAGAGCGCGUAGGCUGGUUAGUAAGUUAAAAGUGAAAUCCCAAGGCUUAACUUUGGAAUUGCUUUUAAAACUGCUAAUCUAGAGAUUGAAAGAGGAUAGAGGAAUUCCUAGUGUAGAGGUGAAAUUCGUAAAUAUUAGGAGGAACACCAGUGGCGAAGGCGUCUAUCUGGUUCAAAUCUGA